rnacentral:misc_RNA from 1 species
GAAAUGCGAUAAGUAAUGUGAAUUGCAGAAUUCAGUGAAUCAUCGAAUCUUUGAACGCACCUUGCGCUCCUUGGUAUUCCUUGGAGCAUGCCUGUUUGAGUAUCAUGAAAUCUUCAAAGUAAAUCUUUUGUUAACUCAAUUGGUUUCUACUUUGGUAUUGGAGGUCUUUGCAGCUUCACACCUGCUCCUCUUUGUUCAUUAGCUGGAUCUCAGUGUUAUGCUUGGUUCCACUCGGCGUGAUAAGUUAUCUAUCGCUGAGGACACUGUAAAAGGUGGCCAAGGUAAAUGCAGAUGAACCGCUUCUAAUAGUCCAUUGACUUGGACAAUACUUUUAUGAUCUGAUCUCAAAUCAGGUAGGACUACCAGCUGAACUUAAGC